rnacentral:ncRNA from 1 species
UGAUAGAGGCGCGGCUGACAAGAGUACCUCCGAAUAAGCGACAGGUGAUCGCGGAGGGAAAGGGGACGCCGCCGAGGGGAUACGGAGGUUCCUGCGUCCGUAUUUACCGGGCCGCCGGGGAAUACCCGACGGACUGUCGCCGAAAGGCGGAGAGCUGUC